rnacentral:rRNA from 1 species
AGACGGAGGGCGCAAGCGUUGUUCGGAAUUAUUGGGCUUAAAGGGUGCGUAGGCGGCGCGGUAAGUGAGGUGUGAAAGCCCACGGCUCAACCGUGGAAUUGCGCUUCAUACUGCCGUGCUAGAGGGAGACAGAGGUAAGCGGAACUGAUGGUGGAGCGGUGAAAUGCGUUGAUAUUAUCAGGAACACCGGUGGCGAAAGCGGCUUACUGGGUCUCUUCUGACGCUGAGGCACGAAAGCUAGGGUAGCGAACGGGAUUAGAAACCCCGGUAGUCC